AUAAUAAUUAAUAAAUAAAAAUAAACAACAAAAAUAAAUAAUAAAAAAUAAAAGAAAAGUAAUUUAUUUUUCAAGAAAAAACCAAUGUGAAUGAAUUAGUUUUAAAAUAAUUAAAAAACCAAAGCAAAUUGAAAAUGCCCCAUGGCCUAGAAGUGCCACAAUAUACCAUGAUGCUCAGCACACGUUCUAUUUUGCUUCCUGCUCAAAUUAAAAUUCCAAUAUGGCGGGCAAUUAUUUUCGAAACGAUGCUUGGAAAGAAGACAAGGAACUGAAAGAAAAACUAGUAGUUUAUGUGAACCAAGGUAUUCGGUGGUUAGAGAUCCUUGAUUUUAUGAAGCGAGACUUUAAUCAGUAUACUUGGAGCUUGCAAACCUUGUGUCGACAACACAGUGGAAUCAGUUACACAUACUUGGGGGUGACCUUGAACAAUAUAAAAGCAGUCCGAAAAGAAUUAGAUGGUCCCGGUAAAUAAUGACACCAUUCUAGAAAGCACCGACAGUGAGCGUGAUCUUGGGAUAUUAACUUCAUCUAGCCUAACUUGGUCUAAAUAUGUCGAGUACCAGUGCGCCAAAGCCUCCAAGACCCCAGGAUACAUUUGUAGAUCAACGUUCAACAUCAAAGACAUUGCAGUUCGCUACACUCUAUACUUGAUUCUCGUUCGUACGCAGCUAUGCUAUGGUUCACCAAUCUGGGCAGCACAAACCGUCAAUCUAAUCCAACCCACAGAAAGAUUUCAAUGAUGUGAGACUAAGUACGUCUUGGAUCUACCCUUCCAUUGUGAAACUACAUACAACCAGAGACUUUCAUGUUUA